UUUAAGUUGCAUUGGGUGGAUUUCAUAAGGUAAAUGAACAUUGUUCAUAGUUUGCAGACCCAAUUGUUGUGGUUGAUUCUGUUGUGGUACACUCAGUUUAGUAAUGGGAUAUUUCCAUUUUUCUGGAUUAUCAAUAAUAGCAUCAUCUGCAAGGGCCCAAGCACGUGGUGCCUGUUUUGUUUGGAAAGCUGAAGACUGGGCAUUAAAUUCUGCUUCCGUAGGUCGUUGAAAUACGUAACCCACCAUGGCAUCAUCUUGAGUUCUGUUCACACCAAUUUGAUGUGUUUGACCAGGUUGUAUACGCAUACUAUCACCACCAGCCAUUACUUGCCCACAUUGUUCUGUAUCCU
rnacentral:misc_RNA from 1 species